AUGGCCGACGGGAUCGUUAGGGCGCAGGCCGCCUGGCCCGGCGGCGGCGCUGCCGCUGCAGCCGCUUUCGGAGAGGUCGCCUGCAAGGGCAAGGAGGUCCCCGCCAACGUUCUCCGUGAGGAUGAGCGGUCGUGGGCGAGGAGCGCCUUGCGUUCCGUGAUAGUUCGCCUCAGGCUCCAGUGUUUUUUCCUAGUCCUUCCUGAGAAGGCAGUUGUCCGGUUAUGUGAAGCAGAAGAUUCUGGCGGACCCCGCCUUGCGUUCCGUGAUAGUUCGCCUCAGGCUCCAGUGUUUUUUCCUAGUCCUUCCUGAGAAGGCAGUUGUCCGGUUAUGUGAAGCAGAAGAUUCUGGCGGACCCGUGAGUACUGUGGGAGCUUUCUUUUCGCUAGGCUGGCUGUACCUGUAACUAGUUUGUAACUUCCUAGACUCUU
rnacentral:lncRNA from 1 species